AGUGGCGGACGGGUGAGUAACGCGUAAGAAUCUAACUUCAGGACGGGGACAACAGUGGGAAACGACUGCUAAUACCCGAUGUGCCGCGAGGUGAAACCUAAUUGGCCUGAAGAAGAGCUUGCGUCUGAUUAGCUAGUUGGUGGGGUAAGAGCCUACCAAGGCGACGAUCAGUAGCUGGUCUGAGAGGACGAGCAGCCACACUGGGACUGAGACACGGCCCAGACUCCUACGGGAGGCAGCAGUGGGGAAUUUUCCGCAAUGGGCGAAAGCCUGACGGAGCAACGCCGCGUGAGGGAGGAAGGUCUUUGGAUUGUAAACCUCUUUUCUCAAGGAAGAAGUUCUGACGGUACUUGAGGAAUCAGCCUCGGCUAACUCCGUGCCAGCAGCCGCGGUAAUACGGGGGAGGCAAGCGUUAUCCGGAAUUAUUGGGCGUAAAGCGUCCGCAGGUGGUCAGCCAAGUCUGCCGUCAAAUCAGGUUGCUUAACGACCUAAAGGCGGUGGAAACUGGCAGACUAGAGAGCAGUAGGGGUAGCAGGAAUUCCCAGUGUAGCGGUGAAAUGCGUAGAGAUUGGGAAGAACAUCGGUGGCGAAAGCGUGCUACUGGGCUGUAUCUGACACUCAGGGACGAAAGCUAGGGGAGCGAAAGGGAUUAGAUACCCCUGCAGUCCUAGCCGUAAACGAUGGAUACUAGGCGUGGCUU
rnacentral:rRNA from 1 species